UGCAUGUCUGGAUCACUCUGACCACAGUUGGUUAGAACAUGGCGCUGAUAAUGCCAAGGCUGCGGGUUCGAUUCCCGUAUAGGACCGCUGCAU